AAAAAAAAAAAAAAAAACAACCAGUUUCACCCCGUAAAGACAAUAAUAAUCUCUUGUUUUCUUCUCUUUUUCAAGUGGCUGUCAUUAGAAUUAGUUAACCAUCAUUUUCUAUUAAGGAUAUUUUCCCCUACCUUCGAUUUUUUUUCCCCCUACCUUUGCCACACUUGUAUAUAUAUGUAGCCUGGAAAAAGGCAUACGGUUGGUG
rnacentral:misc_RNA from 1 species